AGAGUUUGAUCCUGGCUCAGGACGAACGCUGGCGGCGUGCUUAACACAUGCAAGUCGAACGAUGAUCCGGUGCUUGCACCGGGGAUUAGUGGCGGACGGGUGAGUAACACGUGGGAACGUGCCCUUUGGUUCGGAACAACUCAGGGAAACUUGAGCUAAUACCGGAUGAGCCCUUCGGGGGAAAGAUUUAUCGCCAUUGGAGCGGCCCGCGUCUGAUUAGCUAGUUGGUGAGGUAAAGGCUCACCAAGGCGACGAUCAGUAGCUGGUCUGAGAGGAUGAUCAGCCACACUGGGACUGAGACACGGCCCAGACUCCUACGGGAGGCAGC
rnacentral:rRNA from 1 species